rnacentral:rRNA from 1 species
UACGUAGGGUGCGAGCGUUAAUCGGAAUUACUGGGCGUAAAGUGUGCGCAGGCGGCCGCGCAAGUCGAGUGUGAAAUCCCCGAGCUUAACUUGGGAAUUGCGCUCGAAACUACGUGGCUGGAGUGUGGCAGAGGAAGGUGGAAUUCCACGUGUAGCGGUGAAAUUCGUAGAUAUCGGGAGGAACACCGGUGGCGAAGGCGGCGACCUGGGUCGACACUGACGCUGAGGCGCGAAAGCGUGGGGAGCAAACAGG